rnacentral:sRNA from 1 species
CAAACGUUAAUUUAGCAUUAUAAUCUAUUGCAGAGCAAAAAG